rnacentral:rRNA from 1 species
AACGAACGCUGGCGGCAGGCUUAACACAUGCAAGUCGAACGGGCACCUUCGGGUGUCAGUGGCAGACGGGUGAGUAACGCGUGGGAACGUACCCUUCGGUUCGGAAUAACCCAGGGAAACUUGGGCUAACACCGGAUACGUCCGCAAGGAGAAAGAUUUAUCGCCGAAGGAUCGGCCCGCGUCGGAUUAGCUAGUUGGUGGGGUAAUGGCCCACCAAGGCGACGAUCCGUAGCUGGUCUGAGAGGAUGANCAGCCACACUGGGACUGAGACACGGCCCAGACUCCUACGGGAGGCAGCAGUGGGGAAUAUUGGACAAUGGGCGAAAGCCUGAUCCAGCCAUGCCGCGUGAGUGAAGAAGGCCUUAGGGUUGUAAAGCUCUUUCAGCGGGAAGAUAAUGACGGUACCCGC